rnacentral:rRNA from 1 species
UACGAAGGGCGCUAGCGUUGUUCGGAAUCAUUGGGCGUAAAGCGUACGUAGGCGGCAUGAUAAGUCAGCUGUGAAAGCCCAGGGCUCAACCUUGGAAUUGCAGUUGAAACUAUCAAGCUAGAGUAUGGCGGGGGAUAGUGGAAUUCUUAGUGUAGGGGUGAAAUCCGUAGAUAUUAAGAGGAACACCAGUGGCGAAAGCGACUAUCUACACCAUUACUGACGCUCAGGUACGAAAGCGUGGGGAGCAAACAGG